AAUAAUUAAAAUAAGAUAGAGAUGAACUAAAAUGAACUAACUAAUACAUUAGAACGAUCUCCUGCUAAUACAUUGAAUAAAUAGCAAACAAAAUAAAUAUAUAUACACAUACAAUAGUAGAAUAAAAUCUACUAAUACAUUGGAAGAAAAUAGAAUGUGAAGUGUCUGAUCAUUGUAGAAGAUCGACUGGUAGUCAUGUUCACAAUUGUAACACAUUAAUCAAAUAGCAAGCAAAAAUGUACUUGCAUAAAAGUCCAUAUGAAAAAUGGAAAAAAUCAACCCACAUAAUUCCAUACAAAAAAGUGUAUAUAGAACCUAGGGACCGAUAUCUAUAUGACCAUAUGUGUAAGAUAGCAAAAAGGGAAAAUAAGGG